rnacentral:misc_RNA from 1 species
AAAGAUACUUCGCAUAUACAAAAUGUGUUAGAAUUUGAGUAUGAGAAUGCAAGAAGAGCUAGGAAGGAGAUGGCUGCCAAGUCCAGUUGAUCACUAAUAAUGCUCUUCUGCCAUCUAGGUUGAUGGCUUUUCAAAGCUACAUUUUCAGAUUCUGUUCACUCGCCUACUUCUUUUAUGGAUGACAGGAUUAUUUAGUUUAGCAAGUGCUAGUCUUGUUUAUAUCACUUAAACUAUGAGUCCACAUGGGAAGCAUAGCAGUAGCAUUAACGUUUAGAUUGUUUUGCAUUAGCGAAGAAAAUAUGAUUUGUCAUGCCCACCUGCAGGAUCUCUGCGGUAUUGUAAGACGUCACAGAAAGCAUACAUCUCUUUUGACAUUUUCAGGUAUUUUUAAGGUGUGAGAUUGCUAUCAAAACGUUAAUGCUACUGCUAUGCUUCCCA